UACAGAGGUCUCGAGCGUUAAUCGGAAUUACUGGGCUUAACGGGUGCGUAGGCGGUCCAGCAAGUACUUUGUGAAAUCCCAUGGCUUAACCAUGGAAUUGCUCGGUAGACUGCGGGACUUGAGGUCGGUAGGGGUCGCUGGAACUCUAGGUGGAGCGGUGAAAUGCGUAGAUAUCUAGAGGAACGCCAAAGGUGAAGACAGGCGACUGGGCCGAUUCUGACGCUGAGGCACGAAAGCGUGGGUAGCGAACGGG
rnacentral:rRNA from 1 species